AGCUCCAAUAGCGUAUAUUAAAGUUGUUGCAGUUAAAAAGCUCGUAGUUGGAUUUCGGGAUGGGCCAGUUGGUCGGCCGCAAGGUCUGUUACUGACUGGUUUGUUCUUCUUCGCAAAGACUGCGUGUGCUCUUUACUGAGUGUGCGUAGGAUUUACGACGUUUACUUUGAAAAAAUUAGAGUGUUCAAAGCAGGCUAUCGCUUGAAUACAUGAGCAUGGAAUAAUGGAACAGGACUACGGUCACUGCACUUUUCCGUUGGUUUCGGAGGGCCGAAGUAAUGAUUAAGAGGGACAGUUGGGGGCAUCCGUAUUUCGCAGUCAGAGGUGAAAUUCUUGGAUCUGCGAAAGACGAACGAGUGCGAAAGCAUUUGCCAAGAGUGUUUUCAUUAAUCAAGAACGA
rnacentral:rRNA from 1 species